rnacentral:rRNA from 1 species
CCUACGGGUGGCAGCAGUAGGGAAUCUUCCGCAAUGGGCGAAAGCCUGACGGAGCAACGCCGCGUGAGUGAAGCAGGAUUUCGGUUCGUAAAGCUCUGUUGUUAGGGAAGCAUGAUUGUGUAGUAACUAUACACAGUAGAGCCGGUACCUAACCAGAAAGCCACGGCUAACUACGUGCAAGCAGCCGCGGUAAUACGUAGGUGGCAAGCGUUGUCCGGAAUUAUUGGGCGUAAAGCGCGCGCAGGUGGUUUAAUAAGUCUGAUGUGAAAGCCCACGGCUCAACCGUGGAGGGUCAUUGGAAACUGUUAAACGUGAGUGCAGGAGAGAAGAGUGGAAUUCCUAGUGUAGCGGUGAAAUGCGUAGAGAUUAGGAGGAACACCAGUGGCGAAGGCGGCUUUUUGGCCUGUAACUGACACUGAGGCGCGAAAGCGUGGGGAGCAAACAGGAUUAGAUACCCUAGUAGUC